rnacentral:rRNA from 1 species
AGUGGCGGACGGGUGAGUAACGCGUGAGUAACCUGCCUUUGAGAGGGGAAUAACAAUCUGAAAAGAUUGCUAAUACCGCAUAACAUAUACGAAUCGCAUGGUUUGUAUAUCAAAGAUUUUAUCGCUCAAAGAUGGACUCGCGUCCGAUUAGUUAGUCGGUGAGGUAACGGCUCACCAAGACCGCGAUCGGUAGCCGGACUGAGAGGUUGAACGGCCACAUUGGGACUGAGACACGGCCCAGACUCCUACGGGAGGCAGCAGUGGGGGAUAUUGCGCAAUGGGGGCAACCCUGACGCAGCAACGCCGCGUGAAGGAUGAAGGUUUUCGGAUUGUAAACUUCUUUUAUUAAGGACGAAAUUUGACGGUACUUAAUGAAUAAGCUCCGGCUAACUACGUGCCAGCAGCCGCGGUAAUACGUAGGGAGCAAGCGUUGUCCGGAUUUACUGGGUGUAAAGGGUGCGUAGGCGGCUUUGCAAGUCAGAUGUGAAAUCUAUGGGCUCAACCCAUAAACUGCAUUUGAAACUGUAGAGCUUGAGUGAAGUAGAGGCAGGCGGAAUUCCCCGUGUAGCGGUGAAAUGCGUAGAGAUGGGGAGGAACACCAGUGGCGAAGGCGGCCUGCUGGGCUUUAACUGACGCUGAGGCACGAAAGCGUGGGUAGCAAACAGGAUUAGAUACCCUGGUAGUCCACGCUGUAAACGAUGAUUACUAGGUGU